GCCAGGUGGGUCCCAUCACGCAACUAAACCCAUAAUAAAUCCAAUCGAGUCCUCCAUUGCCCAAACCUGUGCAGAUUAACCCCCCAAAAACAGCCAAAUUAACAAACGGGAAAAAAUAAAAAAAAUAAAAAUGAAAAAACAAAUCCUAGGGUUUGACUGCAAAAAUAUUGCAAAUCGCGUGAAUUCUACAGAGAGAGAGAAAAGAGAGAGAAAAGAGAGUGGGGGGAAGUGAGUCGAAUCACCGAUUCCGUCAAGUCCGCUUCCUCUCUUUUCUUUCCCUCCUUGAAAAAACACACCCGGAUCCACUCACCUCAUUGCACCCGCGAAUUUCGAUUUAUUCUCCAUAGAGAUAUGCAAUCUGGACAGAGAAAGUAGAGAGGGAGAGAGGGGGAUUUAUUACUGUGAGCUUGUAUUUUUAGAACGUUGGGAUCGGAGGGUAAAAGUGGGUUUUGCUAAAAACAUUUGGAGGGAUUUUUGUUUUUUAGUUGUUGGGGUUUUUGCUUUUCUAGGGUAAAUUCAAUUUCUGCAAGGCACCAGUGUGGUAAAUUUCGGGUUCAAUUGCAUGCAAUCUGGGGGCGGAGGAGGUGGUGGGCCCAGCCGGAAUCCUGGAAUGGGACCGGCUGGUCGGGCCCCGUCAACAUCAUCUGCUGCAUCUCCUUCUUCUUCAUCGUCCGCUGUUUCUCAGCCGCACCUUGGUUUUGAUUCAGUGCAGCAGCAGCAGCAGCAGCAACAGCAACACAUAGGGUCUAGGCAGGUAAGGGUUUAGAGGUGCAAUUUGAUUUUGAGUUUGAAGUUAUUAGAUAGGAAUUUGUGGGUUUUUGAAAUUUUGCAGUGUGUGUCCAAACGAGUAUGAGUGGGAAAUAUCAUUCUGGAUAUAUAAAGUUUUCGGUUCAGAAGAAUUGGGAGUAUAUGUACGUGGAAAUGGGAAAUUGGAAAGUGUGAAUUUUUGCAAUUAAUACCCCUUGUUCUCCAAUUCGGGCAGUACAGCGAGGUCAUUAGUUGGAUGCUUAGUGUAUUUUUUAUCGUAAACUUUUUUAUAAUUAUUUUGGGACGCUAACCUUGCAUGUCUUAAAUUGGUUGAAAACCGGAACUCAUGGUUGCAUUAAACUUGAAGCUGCUUAACUCUGACUGGCUCUAAACUCUAACUAAGCUGUACUGAAGAGGUUGACUACAUUUAUGUCGUUCCUUGUUCUCCGUGUUGUCCAUCGUUUCUUUCUUUUCUUUCCCUUAUGCAAUAAUAUCGCUUGAUGUAUCAUGUAUAUUCUCUGUUCAUCAUCUUUCUAUAAGUGAGAAGCUAUAUGUGAUGAAGUAAGGCUAUUUCUUUUUCUGAAAUUGUUUAAUCUUUUCAAUAUAAGGAAAUUGUGUUAAUGUGGUUUUGGUUUCCCCGUUAGAAUUGAAAUCUGAUUUUGAAUUUGGUAAUUGGUAAUGUUGACUGGCAAAUGUUCUGAUAUAGAGCUGCUAUGAGUUUCAUUCUUGCAGUUUUGGACCAUCCGUUGGUUUUGCCGUUUUAGAUGUAUUUUAGUGCCAUUCAUGUGAUUCCAUGAUUUUCUGGUCACUAUUUUCUUUGGCUGAAUAUCUUUCUCUCUUGUGCAACAAAAUGACAAAGUGGAAAGUUACAUUUUCUUAUUUAAAAAAUAGGACAGUGAAUUUAUCUUACUUUCAAUUUCUCUACUCAAAUGAAUCAUUAUUUUGUUCCCAAAAAAAGGAACAAUGACCUUGAGCUGCAUAUCUUCUUUGGAUAUUUUACUGUUUCAUUUGGGCUAUAUCUAUUGCUUGUUACCUUUAUCUUUAUAUAGCUCUCAAUCUUCCUGUGAUGCCAUAAUCAACACUUUUUUGUUUUUCCCCCUUCUUCAAGAUGUUGACUCUUAAUUGUAAUUCUACUGCUUAGUUAAACAAUCUUGGUUGUGCUGAGAAAUCUAUUUGCUUUGUUAUAGAUAAACUUGUUUACAAGCCAAGUCAUAUGGAAUAAUACUCUUUAGUGUUCAUUUGUGUACUGCUUAUCUUCAUAUCAAGAUGGUCUUGAAGCUGUUAUUUAUGGUUGGGUAUUAUUUUGAUUGUUUUUGCACUCAUUACAAAUCAAAGUGGAUAUCAUUGAACUCUGCAAGUGUUCAUUAAUGUACUGUCUAUGUUAAUAUUGAGAUGGUAUAUUUAAAAAAAAUGUUAAUAUUGAGAUGGUAUAUUUAAAAAAAAAAUGUUAAUAUUGAGAUGGUCCUGGAGCUGUUAUUUAUUGGUUGUUUAUCCACUGUGAUUGUUCUUGCAGUCAUUACAACAACAAUUACUCAGAAAGACAGAGGGAAAUGAGGCUGUUUUAGCAUAUCAAGCUAGUGCUAUUCAAGGAGUAAUGGGUGGAAGCAAUUUUGCUCCCUCUNNNNN
rnacentral:lncRNA from 1 species